rnacentral:misc_RNA from 1 species
AAGGAUCAUUACCGAAUUGUCAACACGAGUUGUUGCUGGUCCUCAAAUGGGGGCAUGUGCACGCUCUGUUUGCACAUCCACUCACACCUGUGCACCCUCCGUAGUUCUGCAGCCUGGGGGCUCUGUCCCCCUGCUGUGGUUCUAUGUAUUUACACACACACACUGUAAUAAAGUCUCAUGGAAUGCAUGUCGCGUUUAACGCAAUACAAUACAACUUUCAGCAACGGAUCUCUUGGCUCUC